GUGUCAGCCGCCGCGGUAACACGUAGGAUCCGAGCGUUAUCCGAAUUUACUGGGCGUAAAGCGCGUGUAGGCGGUUUAGUAAGUUGGAUGUGAAAGCUCCCGGCUCAACUGGGAGAGGCCGUUCAAAACUACUAAACUCGAGGACGGUAGAGGGAGGUGGAAUUCCCGGUGUAGUAGUGAAAUGCGUAGAUAUCGGGAGGAACACCAGUGGCGAAGGCGGCCUCCUGGACCGUUCCUGACGCUCAGACGCGAAAGCUAGGGGAGCGAACGGGAUUAGAAACCCGCGUAGUCC
rnacentral:rRNA from 1 species